rnacentral:rRNA from 1 species
CAGCACCUCAAGUGGUCAGGAUGAUUAUUGGGCCUAAAGCAUCCGUAGCCGGCGCUGUAAGUUUUCGGUUAAAUCUGUACGCUCAACGUACAGGCUGCCGGGAAUACUGCAGCGCUAAGGAGUGGGAGAGGUAGACGGUACUCGGUAGGAAGGGGUAAAAUCCUUUGAUCUAUUGAUGACCACCUGUGGCGAAGGCGGUCUACCAGAACACGUCCGACGGUGAGGGAUGAAAGCUGGGGGAGCAAACCGGAUUAGAUACCCGAGUAGUCC